rnacentral:tRNA from 1 species
CGGGAAAUAGCACAGCCUGGUAGUGCGCGAGCUUUGGGUGCUCGAGGUCGGCGGUUCGAAUCCGCCUUUCCCGACUA